rnacentral:rRNA from 1 species
CAGUCGCCGCGGGAAUACGGAGGGUGCAAGCGUUAAUCGGAAUUACUGGGCGUAAAGCGCACGCAGGCGGCUUUUUAAGUCGGAUGUGAAAUCCCUGAGCUUAACUUAGGAAUUGCAUUCGAUACUGGGAAGCUAGAGUAUGGGAGAGGAUGGUAGAAUUCCAGGUGUAGCGGUGAAAUGCGUAGAGAUCUGGAGGAAUACCGAUGGCGAAGGCAGCCAUCUGGCCUAAUACUGACGCUGAGGUACGAAAGCAUGGGGAGCAAACAGGAUUAGAUACCCCAGUAGUCCCUGUCUCUUAUAC